rnacentral:RNase_P_RNA from 1 species
GUAGAGCAGACGGUCGCGUGGAUCCAGGAGGUCUAUGAGGAAAGUCCGGGCUCCACAGGGCAAGGAUGCCGGAUAACGUCCGGCGUAGGUAACUAUAGGGAAAGUGCAACAGAAACAUUCCGCCGAAACAGUACGGCUGUGGUAAGGUUGAAAUGGUGAGGUAAGAGCUCACCGGCGGCAUGGAGACAUGUCGGCCGUGUAAACCCCAUCCGGAGCAAGACCAAAGAGGGGCUAAGGGUGGCUGCCCGUCACCUCCCGGCAGGUAGGUCGCUGGAGCUUGUCAGCAAUGGCAAGUCGAGAUAGAUGAUCGUCUAAUACAGAACCCGGCUUACAGCUCUGCCCG